rnacentral:rRNA from 1 species
UACGUAGGGUGCGAGCGUUGUCCGGAAUUAUUGGGCGUAAAGAGCUCGUAGGCGGUCUGUCGCGUCGGAUGUGAAAACACGGGGCUCAGCCCCGUGCCUGCAUUCGAUACGGGCAGACUAGAGUUCGGUAGGGGAGACUGGAAUUCCUGGUGUAGCGGUGAAAUGCGCAGAUAUCAGGAGGAACACCGGUGGCGAAGGCGGGUCUCUGGGCCGAUACUGACGCUGAGGAGCGAAAGCGUGGGGAGCGAACAGG